rnacentral:rRNA from 1 species
CCCUUAGAUGUCCUGGGCCGCACGCGCGCUACACUGACAUGUUCAACAAGCCUCCUAGUUCGACAGGAUUUGGGAAAUCUUUGAACGCAUGUCGUGAUAGGGAUAGAUCAUUGCAAUUAUUGAUCUUGAACGAGGAAUUCCUAGUAAACGCGAGUCAUCAGCUUGCGUUGAUUACGUCCCUGCCCUUUGUACACACCGCCCGUCGCUACUACCGAUUGAAUGGUUUAGUGAGAUCCUUGGAUCGGCCCUGUCGCGGCUGGCAACGGCCGCGUCGGCGCGUCGAGAAGACGAUCAAACUUGAUCAUUUAGAGGAAGUAAAAGUCGUAACA